rnacentral:sRNA from 1 species
UACCUAACGAAUUCAAGGAGUGAUUUACGAAGUUAAAAACCACGCUAUUUUUUUUUGGUCUGAGGGGUUGAAAAGGGCUGAAGCUUUUCUCGAACUCCGUGGGAUAUGUUCCAGUGUAACCGCGAACUUUUUCCAUUGUGAAAAUGUGGGUUCUUGGCCAGCGUCGUUCUUCAAAAAGACGGUCAGAUAGAGCCGACAGGUAGGCCAAUGAAAUGAAAGAUGGAACCCGGAGACAAGAAAGCUCCGUUCAGAGUUUUGAAUUGCCGGUGCUCCAUCCGUAGUUCUACGGAGCUUAUUCAAUUUUCCUCAGGAUCCCGUGUUUUGAGAACGAUUUGGAUUUCCAGACAAUGGUUGUUUGUAAAGUACUCUGUAUGUAUCGAGUAAUUUUUUGUAUGUGGCGUCAUGCUAGACACCUGAGUUGUUUUCGAGGUUAUUAUCAAGAUAAAAAAAACACUAGGAGGUAGCUUGAAGGCGUCUUAAGGUUGACAUGGAGCUGAAUGUGGAGGGCAAAAAGAUGUCAAAACUCACAGACGCGGAUUGGAGGAAACUUGGCCAAGUGAAAUGGAAGAGGAGAAAGAAAAAAAAAAUCUCCGCGAUGAUCAGUCGAUCAUUCAAAGAAUUGGACAAACAAUAGCGAGGAGGUGUAUUGGAUUGAUAAGGGUUUGGUCAGUGGAUGAUUACAUGGUCUGGUUGAUUGUUUCCCGUACUAUUUUACAAGGCGAAAAUAAAAACGGC